CUGACUUUUGGGAUGCAGUCCAAUGAUAAGGUACUGAUUGAUGAACAGUUUGGAUUGCUUAUCUCUGCUACAGGUACUGAAAUAGAGUACUUGAUAAUAAAUAUAUCAUAGGGUUCACUUGAUACUUUUUGAUACACAGGCUGACUCUACAUGCGUCUCAAAAAUCCAAUCAGGAACCACUUUUGUUUCAAAUUUAGGCAAUGCAGAAAGGGAGUAUGAGAUGAUCCUUAAGAGAACAUUGCAUAGCAUCUGCCUUUUGACGAUACAUCCGAACACCACAACCUCUGUUAUACUUCAGGUUGUCAAUGAUGAUGGUGCUGUAUCUUUCAUGUCUAUUUCCGUAGCAUUUUAUGCAUUUUUAAUGAUUUUGAUAGAAAUAAUUAUAGGACCUGAUUUGUUUUAAUUCCCUCCACCACAACUUUUCCAAGGCGAAAAGUGUUCAUUUUCUUUAGUUUUCUAACUUCAUGGAAGGGAAAUUAUAUGAUAAAAAGAAAUCUAGAAAGGGGGACGUUGUUGACAACUGCUAGGCAGAGGAUUGUAGUGGAAGAUCAAGGAUGGACCAAAGUUAAAAGGGAAAUCUGUAGGUCACUCUUAGGAAGAGUGGGUUAUAAUGACACA